UACGUAGGGUGCAAGCGUUGUCCGGAAUUAUUGGGCGUAAAGAGCUCGUAGGCGGUUUGUCGCGUCUGCUGUGAAAACGCGAGGCUCAACCUCGCGCCUGCAGUGGGUACGGGCAGACUAGAGUGUGGUAGGGGAGACUGGAAUUCCUGGUGUAGCGGUGAAAUGCGCAGAUAUCAGGAGGAACACCGGUGGCGAAGGCGGGUCUCUGGGCCGAUACUGACGCUGAGGAGCGAAAGCGUGGGGAGCGAACAGG
rnacentral:rRNA from 1 species